UACCAGCACCCCGAGUGGUCGGGACGUUUAUUGGGCCUAAAGCAUCCGUAGCCGGUUCUACAAGUCUUCCGUUAAAUCCUCCUGCUUAACAGAUGGGCUGCGGAAGAUACUAUGGAGCUAGGAGGCGGGAGAGGCAAGCGGUACUCGAUGGGUAGGGGUAAAAUCCGUUGAUCCAUUGAAGACCACCAGUGGCGAAGGCGGCUUGCCAGAACGCGCUCGACGGUGAGGGAUGAAAGCUGGGGGAGCAAACCGG
rnacentral:rRNA from 1 species